AUCAUUAUUCAACCUAGAAAUCGUAACAAAAGCAGCACAGUUACUAUCAUUGAUCCUAUGUGAUCAAUGGGGCCACUUUAAACAGAAAAAAAAUUACUUUCUUUAUGAACACUACAGUUAGUGUACUCACAUAAAUAUAUACAGUCAUUGCUUUUGGAAUCAAAUGAUUAUCGGCCUGAAAGAGGAAUACCAAAAAAAGUGAAGACAUGUCCUCCUACCUGAGCUCUUCAUACGUGAAAAAGUAUCGAAGCAGAUCUUUGACAGUAUUUGGAUGAAAGAAGAGACGGACAGAAGUCGUGGGAGAAUGAAAACUAAAGGUGUUGUGCUUUUUGCUUGUGUCAUCUUCAUGGUUUUCCUUAUAGUUGAAAUCGGGUGUGCUCCAAAGAUGGCAGGAGAUACACCUCUGAAAAGGAUGAACAGUAUUACAAGCUUAACCUGGAGGACUUCAGUGCAUUUUUUAAAAGUAAUUUCUGAAGAAAAGCAUGUAUAACUUGCAGGUGUAUUACCUAUAGCUAUGUCUCUGUUGAUUUCAAUCAUACCAAAAGCAAAACCCUUGAGGAGCCAGAUAUUUCUAACUCCAUGGAAUUUACAUUGCAGAGGUUCUGUUUCCUGGUUUGGUACACUGACUUAAAUUUAGGGAAAAGCAGAUGGAGGUCAGGAUUUUUCUAAGUGCUAAGAAUGAUUCUGUUCCUGCUGCCUUUUACAACUUGAGCUAAGCACACAGCACUUCCAUCUCUCCAAAACCACUGGUAUUCUAAGAAUUCAAAUACAAAAUUAAUUCAAAAACAAAACAAAAAGAAUAGUGGUGGUCUUUCUGUAUAGAGUUGAGAAAAGGCCAGCAGCAUUUUAGUGCACCUUCACAGCCAAAAAGGAAAAAGACUACAGCAGGAAGACACCUGGGAAUAAGAAAAGAGAAAGAUGGAGAGUUUCACUCCAAGAUCUUCCUAGAAUGGUGAUUGUAAAAAUAAUAAUUACCAGAAAAUUAGUGGGAGAAACAAAGCUAUAGGAAGAAUGGGUUUUCCCGGCAACAGUUCAGCCAGCCAUAGAGAAUGAACACACCUUCAGUUUUAGUGAUUCAGAUCACAGUGAUACUGUUGGAAAGUUAAAGGAAAGUAG
rnacentral:lncRNA from 7 species